GAUCCUGGCUCAGAUUAACGCUGGCGGCAGGCCUAACACAUGCAAGUCGAGCGGUAACAGGUCCAGCUUGCUGGAUGCUGACGAGCGGCGGACGGGUGAGUAACGCAUAGGAAUNUACCCGGUAGUGGGGGAUAACCUGGGGAAACCCAGGCUAAUACCGCAUACGUCCUACGGGAGAAAGGGGGCUUCGGCUCCCGCUAUUGGAUGAGCCUAUGCCGGAUUAGCUGGUUGGUGAGGUAAUGGCUCACCAAGGCGACGAUCCGUAGCUGGUCUGAGAGGAUGAUCAGCCACAUCGGGACUGAGACACGGCCCGAACUCCUACGGGAGGCAGCAGUGGGGAAUAUUGGACAAUGGGGGCAACCCUGAUCCAGCCAUGCCGCGUGUGUGAAGAAGGCCCUCGGGUUGUAAAGCACUUUCAGCGAGGAAGAACGCCUGUCGGUAAUACCCGGCAGAAAGACAUCACUCGCAGAA
rnacentral:rRNA from 1 species